AACUUCCCUGGCUCUCUGGAUAAAGUCUGCUCUCCAGUCGGUGAGGACCUUGGACAGGCAGCCCUGUUGGCCUCUGCGGACCCCUGUCUCAUGCCUCCAUCACACCAGCCAUGUCAACUUGCUACCGAGAACCCUGCAGCCCUCCUGGGCCUUCUAAGGAGGCUGAAACAAGGCUAAGCCCUUCCUGGUGGUUCUUUGCUUGGUCUCCCUACUGACCGUAUCUGUACUCCAGCUCAGUCGCGGACAGCUCAUUUUUACCCGGAGUGACAGCUUCUCGUCCUUGGGUCCCAGGUCAAGCCUUCACACUCUGCCCUGGCAACGUACUGGAUUACUCACUGGCCUGCUGACCGCAAGAGUUCGAAACCCCCAGAUGCACCGAGGAAGUAAGACGAGGAGUGCUACUCCCGCAAGAGCCACAGUCUUGGAGACCCACAGGGGCAACUCUACCCUGUCCUCCGGGGUCACGACGACUCAGAAUCGACUUGAAGGCAGUGAGUUUGGCUUUUUGGAUGUCUGCUUCCAUCCUAGA